UACAGAGGUCCCGAGCGUUGUUCGGAUUCAUUGGGCGUAAAGGGUGCGUAGGCGGCGGGGUUAGUUUGAUGUGAAAUCCCGGGGCUCAACCCUGGAAUUGCAUUGAAUACUACCUUGCUAGAGUACCGGAGAGGAAACUGGAAUUUACGGUGUAGCAGUGAAAUGCGUAGAGAUCGUAAGGAAGACCAGUGGCGAAGGCGAGUUUCUGGACGGUAACUGACGCUGAGGCACGAAGGCCAGGGGAGCAAACGUG
rnacentral:rRNA from 1 species